AAAUUGAAGAGUUUGAUCAUGGCUCAGAUUGAACGCUGGCGGCAGGCCUAACACAUGCAAGUCGAACGGUAACAGGAAGCAGCUUGCUGCUUUGCUGACGAGUGGCGGACGGGUGAGUAAUGUCUGGGAAACUGCCUGAUGGAGGGGGAUAACUACUGGAAACGGUGGCUAAUACCGCAUAACGUCGCAAGACCAAAGAGGGGGACCUUCGGGCCUCUUGCCAUCAGAUGUGCCCAGAUGGGAUUAGCUUGUUGGUGAGGUAACGGCUCACCAAGGCGACGAUCCCUAGCUGGUCUGAGAGGAUGACCAGCCACACUGGAACUGAGACACGGUCCAGACUCCUACGGGAGGCAGCAGUGGGGAAUAUUGCACAAUGGGCGCAAGCCUGAUGCAGCCAUGCCGCGUGUAUGAAGAAGGCCUUCGGGUUGUAAAGUACUUUCAGCGGGGAGGAAGGUGUUGUGGUUAAUAACCGCAGCAAUUGACGUUACCCGCAGAAGAAGCACCGGCUAACUCCGUGCCAGCAGCCGCGGUAAUACGGAGGGUGCAAGCGUUAAUCGGAAUUACUGGGCGUAAAGCGCACGCAGGCGGUCUGUCAAGUCGGAUGUG
rnacentral:rRNA from 1 species